rnacentral:lncRNA from 10 species
UUCCUUUGCCGCCACCACCACUUCCCAUCCCAGCUAGAGAGACAGCUCCGCGCAGUAAGUGCGGACUGCCAGCCACCAGCCUUGGCAGCCAGCUCGUCGCCUCCAGCCCCGACCCCGACAGGGUCUCACUCUGUUGCCGAGGCUAGAGUACGGCGGUGCAAUUAUGGCUUACUGCAACCUUGACCUAGCAGGGCUCAACUGAUCCUCCCACCUCAGCCUCCGGACUAGCUGGAACUACAGGCAUGCGCCACCACACCUGGCUAAUUUUUGUAUUUUUUUUGUAGAGACAGGGUUUUGCCAUGUUGCCCAGGCUGAUCUCAAACUCCUAGGCUCAAGCAGUCAUCUGCCUUGGCCUCCCAAAGUGCUGGCAUGAACCACUGUGUCUGGCCUACUAUUUGGACUUUUAAGGUGAUUUUCUCCUCUUUAGGCAAGGAACAUCAAGCCUUUCCUAGCAUAAGACCAAAAACAAACCA